GCACUACCGGUUCAGUGGCAGAGUUCUAGCCUUUCAUUCUGGAGGCCCAAGUUCAAUUCCUGGCUAAUGCA
rnacentral:tRNA from 1 species